CACGUAGGGUGUGAGCGUUGUCCGGAAUUAUUGGGCGUAAAGAGCUCGUAGGCGGUGUGUCGCGUCGGCCGUGAAAACCUGCAGCUUAACUGUGGGCGUGCGGUCGAUACGGGCAUCACUGGAGUUCGGCAGGGGAGACUGGAAUUCCUGGUGUAGCGGUGAAAUGCGCAGAUAUCAGGAGGAACACCGGUGGCGAAGGCGGGUCUCUGGGCAUUAACUGACGCUGAGGAGCGAAAGCAUGGGGAGCGAACAGG
rnacentral:rRNA from 1 species